rnacentral:rRNA from 1 species
AACGAACGCUGGCGGCAUGCCUAACACAUGCAAGUCGAACGAUGCUUUCGGGCAUAGUGGCGCACGGGUGCGUAACGCGUGGGAAUCUGCCCUUGGGUUCGGAAUAACAGUUGGAAACGACUGCUAAUACCGGAUGAAGACGAAAGUCCAAAGAUUUAUCGCCUGAGGAUGAGCCCGCGUACGAUUAGGUAGUUGGUGGGGUAAAGGCCUACCAAGCCGACGAUCUUUAGCUGUUCUGAGAGGAUGAUCAGCCACACUGGGCACUGAGACACGGCCCAGACUCCUACGGGGGGCAGCAGUGGGAAAUAUUGGACAAUGGGCGAAAGCCUGAUCCAGCAAUGCCGCGUGAGUGAUGAAGGCCUUAGGGUUGUAAAGCUCUUUUACCCGGGAUGAUAAUGACAGUACCGGGAGAAUAAGCCCCGGCUAACUCCGUGCCAGCCGCCGCAGUAA